GUGUUGGGUUCAAAUUCUUGGACUUGUGUUUUUUUUUUCCUGAUUUGUUUUUUGUGGGCAGAUAGAAAAAGUGGAUAGACUAAAUUUUUUUCCUAAUUUGUUAUUUAUGGGCGGACACAAAAAGUGGAUAGAUUAAAAUUUUCAUGAUUAAAUAUUAAGUAAAUAUUUAUACGUUCUAUAUUAUAAUAGAUUUUUUAUUAGCUGGGUCCAUCGGUGUCGUGAUUAAUUUGUUGCAUCGUUGGAAUUUAGGAACAGACCAGACUGUGUUCAUAUACUAUGGGUAGAUAGAAAAAGUGAACAAACCAAAAUUUAUAGAAUUAAAUAUUAGAUAAAGAUAAAGAUAUAUACCAAACACAUAGCUUAAUAUUAUUCUCAAAGACACGAAAACAUGCAUGCAACUCGAUCGGCUAGCUAGCUUAUUCAACACCUGGAUGACACAUGCCGAUCGAGAACGAGGACACACACAGGGGUCGAUGGGCUUAUUUAUAUUAAGCCAAGCAGUGAACGAACGAA
rnacentral:lncRNA from 1 species